rnacentral:rRNA from 1 species
AGGACAAACGCUGGCGGCGUACCUAAGACAUGCAAGUCGAACGGAUCGUGUGCCUUCGGGUAGACGGUGAGUGGCGAACGGGUGAGUAACACGUAGGAACCUGUCGCACAGUGGGGGAUAACGCUGGGAAACCGGCGCUAAUACCGCAUGAGGUGGGCGGUGUAAAGCCGUUCACGAAAGCAGAGAUGCGCUGAGUGAGGGGCCUGCGGCCGAUUAGCUAGUUGGUGGGGUAACGGCCUACCAAGGCGACGAUCGGUAGCUGGUCUGAGAGGAUGGUCAGCCACACUGGGACUGAGACACGGCCCAGACUCCUACGGGAGGCAGCAGUUAGGAAAUUUUCACAAUGGGGGAAACCCUGAUGGAGUAACGCCGCGUGCAGGAUGACGGCCUUCGGUUGUAACUGCUUUCUGUGGGACGAGUAGAAGACGGUACCGCAGGAAGAAGCAUCGGCUAACUACGUGCCAGCAGCCGCGGUAA